ensembl:rRNA 5S_rRNA 5S ribosomal RNA
GCUUACGACCACACCGGCCUGAGUACGCCUGAUCUCAUCUGAGCUUGGAAGCUAAGCAGGGUAGGGCCUGGUUAGUACUUGGAUGGGAGCUAGCCUGGUAAUACCAGGUGCUGUAAGCU